CAUAUCAUAAGUACUAUAUAAUGAAUUUAAAGUUUGUUAUUCAUAUUGGGAGAACAAAAGAUAAUAGAGUUCUAAGAUAAAAUCUUCACAAAAAAAUGGCAAAACAUAUUUCUCAAUAUUGUCUGUUGGCAAUUUUAUGCAUUGCGUUGGUUCUAGCCUCAGGACCAACACCAGGUUUAAGUUUCUGCCAUUCUCAUACAUAUUGUGAUAGCGAAGAUAAUUGCGACGCAAGGUGCCGUGAUUUGAACUAUGCGCGAGGAAGAUGUAUUGGACUUCUUUGUUGCUGUGAGUUAUUAUGAAAUAAAUCAUAUUAUUAUAAAUAUUUAUAUAUAUGUUAUAAUAAACAUCAACUAAAUAAGAAACAUCUUCCUCCAAAUAUUUAUAUAUGUUUGAAGCAUAUAUAUCAAGUAUGUAUUCAGAGCAUAAGUGGAGAACUUGAAAGUAGUCUUCUUCUUGUGAAAGAAAGAAAGAAAGAGACCAGUUUAUAUAUGUAAGACAUGUGUAUGUGUAAAUCAGACCAGUUUAGAAGCAAUGAAGAGUUACUAUUUCACAAUAUUA